rnacentral:rRNA from 1 species
UACGUAGGGUGCAAGCGUUAAUCGGAAUUACUGGGCGUAAAGCGUGCGCAGGCGGUUUUGUAAGACAGAGGUGAAAUCCCCGGGCUCAACCUGGGAACUGCCUUUGUGACUGCAAGGCUUGAGUGCGGCAGAGGGUAGUGGAAUUCCCGGUGUAGCGGUGAAAUGCGUAGAUAUCGGGAGGAACAUCAGUGGCGAAGGCGGCUACCCUGGCCCAAUACUGACACUCAGGUGCG